CAACCCAUCAAGCUUCGGCUUGGUCUUGGGGCCUGCGGUUUCGCAGCCUCUAAACCCAGUGGCGGUGCUAUUGAGCUCUGAGCGUAGUAAUUUCUCUCGCUAUAGAGUCUCGGUGGUGACUUGCCAACAACCCCCAAUUUUUAUCA
rnacentral:misc_RNA from 2 species